rnacentral:tRNA from 1 species
GUUUCCGUAGUGUAGCGGUUAUCACGUCUGCUUCACACGUAGAAGGUCUCCGGUUCGAUCCCGGGCGGGAACA